UACGUAGGAGGCGAGCGUUGUCCGGAGUUACUGGGCGUAAAGCGUGCGCAGGCGGUUUUGUAAGCCAGAUGUGAAAUCCCCGGGCUUAACCUGGGAAUGGCAUUUGGGACUGCAAGGCUUGAGUGCGGCAGAGGAGACUGGAAUUCCUGGUGUAGCAGUGAAAUGCGUAGAUAUCAGGAGGAACACCGAUGGCGAAGGCAGGUCUCUGGGCUGACACUGACGCUCAUGCACGAAAGCGUGGGGAGCAAACAGG
rnacentral:rRNA from 1 species